rnacentral:miRNA from 1 species
AUUCACAUAUGUGUGAAAGUGAUCACCCAUAUGUGAAGGUGAUCACUCACAUAUGGGUGAAUGGCCUUCACCCAUAUGUGAUCACUUUCACCUAUGGGUGAAU